AAACUUCCUCUUUUAUGGGAAGAGUCUUUUUACGAGCCUCUUACUCAGUAGGCAAAAAUCCUUGCUCCUGUUGGGCUUUUUCAUUCAAGGAUUUGGAGCCUCGGAGCUGGAAAAAUCACGCUAAAAGUCUCCCGCGAGCGCCUUUCCUCUCCCUCGGCCGAGCCUCAACCUUUUACCAUAAAUAGCGGAUGUGUUUACAAGAUCCCCUUCCGUCGGUCGAGCUAAUCAGCUGGCGACUCCAAGGUAGCCCGACGCCACGUUCCGUCCUCUUAUCUCUCGCAGUAAACGUCAGGCGUCAGCUGUACAAGCAUCUUCCUCUUCUUUACUUUUAGAUCAGCCAGUGAGACACAAUGCGUCA